GUGGCGAAAGGGUGAGUAACGCGUGGGUAAUUAACCCUUAGGCUCGGGACAACACCUCGAAAGGGGUGCUAAUACCGGACGUGAUGGUUUUUGCAUAAGCAAAAACCGUGAAAGGCGGGGACCUGUUGAGGGCCCGUCACCUUUGGAUAAGCCCGCGUCCUAUCAGCUUGUUGGUGAGGUAACGGCUCACCAAGGCAUUUGACGGGUAGCUGGUCUGAGAGGAUGGUCAGCCACACUGGGACUGAGACACUGCCCAGACUCCUACGGGAGGCUGCAGUCGAGAAUCUUUCGCAAUGGGGGAAACCCUGACGAAGCGACGCCGCGUGAGCGAUGAAGGCCUUCGGGUUGUAAAGCUCUGUCACGCAAGACGAUUACCCGCGAUCUAACAGAUCAAGGGAAGGACUGUACUGCGAGAGGAAGCCACGGCUAACUCCGUGCCAGCAGCCGCGGUAAUACGGAGGUGGCAAGCGUUGUUCGGAUUCAUUGGGUGUAAAGGGCAUGUAGGCGGCUCUAUAAGUCGGACGUGAAAUCCCUUGGCUUAACCAAGGAACUGCGUCCGAUACUGUAAGGCUUUGGGUGCAGGAGAGGAGAACGGAAUUCCCGGUGUAAGAGUGAAAUCUGUAGAGAUCGGGAGGAACACCAGUGGCGAAGGCGGUUCUCUGGACUGCAACUGACGCUGAAAUGCGAAAGCUAGGGGAGCAAACAGGAUUAGAUACCCUGGUAGUCCUAGCUGUAAACGAUGGGUACUAGGUGUAGGCAUGAAAGUGUCUGUGCCGCAGUUAACACGUUAAGUACCCCACCUGGGGACUACGACCGCAAGGUUAAAACUCAAAGGAAUUGACGGGGACCCGCACAAGCGGUGGAGCAUGUGGUUUAAUACGACGCUACGCGUGGAACCUUACCAGGACUUGACAUGUACCUGAAAGCUUGCCGAAAGGUGAGCCCUCCCUCAAGGACAGGUACACAGGUGUUGCAUGGCUGUCGUCAGCUCGUGUCGUGAGAUGUUGGGUUAAGUCCCGCAACGAGCGCAACCAUUGUCUUUAGUUGCCACUCUUGAGGCGCAAGCCGAAGGAAGCACUCUAGAGAGACUGCCUGUGUUUAACAGGAGGAAGGUGGAGAUGACGUCAAGUCAGUAUGGCCCUUACGUCCUGGGCUACACACGUGCUACAAUGGCCUGUACAAAGGGAAGCAAGACCGCAAGGUGGAGCAAAUCUCAAAAAACAGGCCCCAGUUCAGAUUGUUGGCUGCAAUUCGCCAACAUGAAGUUGGAAUCGCUAGUAACAGCACAUCAGCCACGGUGCGGUGAAUACGUUCCCGGGUCUUGUACACACCGCCCGUCAAGCC
rnacentral:rRNA from 1 species